UACGUAGGUGGCAAGCGUUGUCCGGAUUUACUGGGCGUAAAAGGGGCGUGCAGGCGGCUUGUUAAGUGCAGGGUGAAAGCUCCCGGCUCAACUGGGAGAGGUUCUUGCAUACUGGCGAGCUCGAGGGAGGCAGAGGAAAGUGGAAUUCCCGGUGUAGUGGUGAUAUGCGUAGAUAUCAGGAGGAACACCGAUGGCGAAGGCAGGUCUCUGGGCCAUAACUGACGCUGAGAAGCGAAAGCAUGGGGAGCGAACCGG
rnacentral:rRNA from 1 species